GACGAACGCUGGCGGCGUGCCUAAUACAUGCAAGUUGAGCGCUGAAGGUUGGUACUUGUACCAACUGGAUGAGCAGCGAACGGGUGAGUAACGCGUGGGGAAUCUGCCUUUGAGCGGGGGACAACAUUUGGAAACGAAUGCUAAUACCGCAUAAAAACUUUAAACACAAGUUUUAAGUUUGAAAGAUGCAAUUGCAUCACUCAAAGAUGAUCCCGCGUUGUAUUAGCUAGUUGGUGAGGUAAAGGCUCACCAAGGCGAUGAUACAUAGCCGACCUGAGAGGGUGAUCGGCCACAUUGGGACUGAGACACGGCCCAAACUCCUACGGGAGGCAGCAGUAGGGAAUCUUCGGCAAUGGACGAAAGUCUGACCGAGCAACGCCGCGUGAGUGAAGAAGGCUGUCGGAUCGUAAAACUCUGUUGGUAGAGAAGAACGUUGGUGAGAGUGGAAAGCUCAUCAAGUGACGGUAACUACCCAGAAAGGGACGGCUAACUACGUG
rnacentral:rRNA from 1 species